rnacentral:lncRNA from 1 species
UCUGGGACGAGGGGAAUCUGCUGGAUUGGAGGAGCCUUGGCCUCCUCCUGCUUGGGAGCCUCUGGAAUGGUAGUGGCAGGAGGAGUCUGCUGGACUGGUGCAGGAAGCGUAGCCGGGUCGGAUUGAACCAAGGACUGUGAGCCGCCAUUGCUGCUGCUGGAGCUCCUGUUUGGAGAAUUGGCAGCGAUGAGAUGUACCUUGUCCCGAAGCUCCUAUAUCCACUUAUUUGCCCGGAUGUAUGAAUCUGACUGUAAGAAUAAGGUGUGUCCCUCUACAUAUCAAGAGGAAAAAUUGAUUGCCGAGCAUGCUUGUGUUUAUGAAAUUUAACUUUGCUAUAUGUUCACAAAACAGUUCAGUAUCUGUCAGAGACAUAAUUAGGUUUGUCUAUUAAAUGGUAGUUUAGUACACAUAAAUUUGGUUGCGGUUUCGGCGAAAGAAAUUCACAUCAGUUCAAAAUGAGAGACAGGAAAAGUUCGGAGAUAAAUAAUUGAACAUGAAAUGAACUAGUGUGAUUCAAAUUCGGGUGACUCUAUGUAUUUUCUUAUGCUUACAAGAAUUGUAGCUGCCUUCUUGCUUGCUAAUUGCUAUAGCUUACAAUACUUGGAGCAUUUUUCGUGUGUGAUCUGUACUUUAGGUGCUAACAAAAGAAUAUGCAAGGUUAUUCAGAUUGAGGAUCUUAACUAAUCAUGUUAAUGGUUGGUCUUGCUCCCUGUGCAUUUUCACUCACCGAGAGCGACUACUCCAAGAAAAAAAGCCAUGGGAACAUGUUGCCCUCAGUCCUCUCUCGACAAAUCCAGUAGUGCAGGUUCUCCUAUGCGCCAAGUAUUGCCAGCGGCGAUGCCUCCAUCAUUGCUGAAAUGGUAUGACUUCUUUGCAAAAAAAAUCAGGUCUAGUAGUUUGUCUCAAAGUCAUUUAUUCUGUAUCGUACUCCACCUUGUGCUCCUUUCAUCCCUUCCAUGUUUAGAUGAGAUUUCUAUGUGCAAUCAGACUUGGGCUAUAGCCCAAAAAAAUUGGUGAUCUUAGUUCUGAAUUGCUAGGCAUGCAACUCCUCGUUUGCUGCCCAAUUUGUAUGCUUUUUUCAGUUCAUCUUGUAUUGUAAUUUGAUGCCCAAUUUGCUGUUGCUAAAUGUUGUUAUAUGUUAUCAGUUCGUGUGUGCUCUUUUCAUUAGGUCGUGUGCCAAUUUGUUAUCAGUUUUGUGUGUGUGUGAGUUGGUAAACCAAGUGUGGCUACUGCAGAAAAAAGGCACGGGGAUGUGUUGCCGUCAAUUCUCUCUCGACAAAUCCAGUAGUGCAGGUGCUCCGGUACCCCAAUUAUUGCCGGCGGUGAUGCCUGCAUAAUGGUCCAUUCGAGAGAUGCUACUUUUGGUGCAUAUUUAUCUAUUUAGUUUUGUGUUCUGUUGUUUGCUCCAAUUGAUCCUUGUGUUAAUGUUUGUAUAUGUUGUGCACUCUUGAUCCCAUCAUGAAGUGAAAAAUGACAAGCGAGCUAAGUACUAGUUCGGAAAGUUUGCAUGUUCGAACAGAUAAACAUAGAAAAGUUCAUUGAAAAAGUUUGGUUUGCAUGUUCCGUGAAAAUUUCUUGCUAAAGAAAUAUCUCUUGUGCACUUAUUUAUUCGCCUGAAUAUUUUGGUUUGAUUCUCAGGUGCGAGAUGGCGGCCGCCGACGUCGCUAAAUCCCUAUACAAACUACUAGUUGGCUGCUCCCAGCGGUAAAUGUGGUUGGGUUCAGUAGCUAGCUCUUCCUCGAGCAAACAUUUGGAGAAAUUUAUUGUGUUCUUGUGGUGGUGAUUGACUUUAGGAUCAGUAGCUAGCUUGCGUAUGGAACCUGCAAGUUCAAUAUUGGCAUUAGAUUCAGUUUUUGUUGUACAAAUAUCUUAGUGUUCACAUUUAUUUGGGUAGAAGUUUAUUUUAGUUCAGCUACAGAAACCAUGUAGGUUCACUGAUGAUGAUUCCAUAAGUUCGGACAAGAAAACAAAUAAGAAUUAAAACAAAAAACUUUAAAUUCUAGAAGUUCAAGUGCUCAUCCACACAUGAU